UACAGAGGGGGCAAGCGUUGUUCGGAAUUACUGGGCGUAAAGGGCGCGUAGGCGGCCUUCUAAGUCGAACGUGAAAUCCCCGGGCUCAACCCGGGAACUGCGUCCGAGACUGAAAGGCUUGAAUCCGGGAGAGGGAUGUGGAAUUCCAGGUGUAGCGGUGAAAUGCGUAGAUAUCUGGAGGAACACCGGUGGCGAAGGCGGCAUCCUGGACCGGUAUUGACGCUGAGGCGCGAAAGCCAGGGGAGCAAACGGG
rnacentral:rRNA from 1 species